UACGGGGGGGGCAAGCGUUGUUCGGAAUUACUGGGCGUAAAGCGUGCGUAGACGGUAGCGUAAGUCGGGUGUGAAAGCCCCGGGCUCAACCUGGGAAUUGCAUUCGAGACUGCUCUGCUAGGGUGCGGAAGAGGGAAGCGGAAUUUCCGGUGUAGCGGUGAAAUGCGUAGAUAUCGGAAGGAACACCAGUGGCGAAAGCGGCUUCCUGGUCCAGCACCGACGUCAGGCACGAAAGCGUGGGGAGCAAACAGG
rnacentral:rRNA from 1 species